rnacentral:misc_RNA from 1 species
AAGUUUGUAACUGGUUUCUUAAAAGAUCUAUUUAUAGAACUGCUUAUUACUCCUUUAUUCCUCGUCCAAUCUCAAUUUCCUUUUAUAUCCAUCCCUUUUUUACGUCCCUUAUCACUUUUCUACACUUUUUAUCCCGAAUUUCCCAAAGGAAAAAAAGUCGAUUUUCAAACUACGUAAUAUUUUAAUUAUAUUAAAUUAAAUCUUAAAAAAACAUUUAAAUUCUAUAACUCCGGAUCUACUCAACCGAUUUUCAAGCGGUUUUCGUAUAAAUCCCUUAUUUUCUUUCUUCUACCCGACCCCACCCAGAACUCACCCCUUUUCCACCCCUAGCGACUUUUCACCCCCCACCCCCAAAAUUUUUCCUUCAAAAAUUUUGAAAUAAUUACUCCUGUACCGCCUCGUUUUACCCUUUAAAACGAGGUACCCCCCACCCCCCUCACUUUUUUAAAUAAAAAAAAAAAAAAAAAAAAAAAAAAAAAAAAAAAAAAAAAAAAAAAAAAAAAAAAAAAAAAAAAAAAAAACCUAACCUAACCUAACCUAACCUAA